rnacentral:rRNA from 1 species
GAUCAUGGCUCAGGAUGAACGCUGGCGGCGUGCUUAACACAUGCAAGUCGAACGAAGCACUUUAUUUGAUUUCCUUCGGGACUGAUUAUUUUGUGACUGAGUGGCGGACGGGUGAGUAACGCGUGGGUAACCUGCCUUGUACAGGGGGAUAACAGUUGGAAACGGUUGCUAAUACCGCAUAAGCGCACGGCAUCGCAUGAUGCAGUGUGAAAAACUCCGGUGGUAUAAGAUGGACCCGCG